CACGUAGGGCGCAAGCGUUGUCCGGAAUUAUUGGGCGUAAAGAGCUCGUAGGUGGUUUGUUACGUCUGCUGUGAAAACCUAGGGCUUAACCCUGGGCUUGCAGUGGAUACGGGCAGACUAGAGGUAGGUAGGGGAGAAUGGAAUUCCUGGUGUAGCGGUGAAAUGCGCAGAUAUCAGGAGGAACACCAAUUGCGAAGGCAGCUCGCUGGGACGUAACUGACGCUGAGACGCGAAAGCGUGGGGAGCAAACAGG
rnacentral:rRNA from 1 species